rnacentral:rRNA from 1 species
UACGGAGGGUGCAAGCGUUGUUCGGAAUUACUGGGCGUAAAGCGCGCGUAGGCGGUUUGCUAAGUCAGAUGUGAAAGCCCUCGGCUUAACCGGGGACGUGCAUUUGAAACUGGCAGACUUGAGUACUGGAGGGGGUGGUGGAAUUCCCGGUGUAGAGGUGAAAUUCGUAGAUAUCGGGAGGAAUACCGGUGGCGAAGGCGACCACCUGGCCAGAUACUGACGCUGAGGCACGAAAGCCAGGGGAGCAAACGGG